rnacentral:rRNA from 1 species
UACGGAGGGGGCUAGCGUUGUUCGGAAUUACCGGGCGUAAAGGGCGCGUAGGCGGCUUACCAAGUCAGGCGUGAAAUUCCCGGGCUCAACCUGGGGGCUGCGCUUGAUACUGGUGAGCUUGAAUGCGGGAGAGGAUAGUGGAAUUCCCAGUGUAGAGGUGAAAUUCGUAGAUAUUGGGAAGAACACCGGUGGCGAAGGCGGCUAUCUGGCCCGUAAUUGACGCUGAGGCGCGAAAGCGUGGGGAGCAAACAGG